GAAAAUAUGUCAUCAAAUUCGUCUACUGCUACAUCUAUAUGGCCUCCGUUCAUAUGUCAUUGUGGGACGGGCCCUUGUAUAAUAAACUUUCAAUGUCGAAAAAGAAUCCGGGUAGACACUAUUAUUCUUACCCAAGAAUGGUAUGUAUUUAUUUAUUAUAAUUUUUGUAUAUUUGUUCCUUUUACAUAAGUAAAUAAAUUUAUUGUUUCCCAAAAUAUACAACAUUGUGGUAACUUCAUCAGCUGGUGUGACAAAUAUGUUCGAGUGUUGCAUAAUCAAAGGAGGUUGCAAAUGGACACAUCUGAGCAUUUAAAUGUAACAACUCAUCCAACGAAUACGAACGACUCCAACGAAUUAGCGAUGGUGAAAAUUAAAAUGCGUCAAUUGCAU
rnacentral:lncRNA from 1 species